rnacentral:rRNA from 1 species
AGCGAACGCUGGCGGCAGGCCUAACACAUGCAAGUCGAACGAUCCUUCGGGAUAGUGGCGGACGGGUGAGUAACACGUGGGAACGUGCCCUUUGGUUCGGAAUAACUCAGGGAAACUUGAGCUAAUACCGGAUGAGCCCUUCGGGGAAAGAUUUAUCGCCAUUGGAGCGGCCCGCGUUGGAUUAGCUAGUUGGUGGGGUA